rnacentral:rRNA from 1 species
CACGUAGGGGCCAAGCGUUGUCCGGAUUUAUUGGGCGUAAAGAGCUCGUAGGCGGUUCGACAAGUCGGGUGUGAAAACUCCGGGCUCAACCCGGAGACGCCACCCGAUACUGUCGUGACUGGAGUCCGGUAGGGGAGUGGGGAAUUCCUGGUGUAGCGGUGAAAUGCGUAGAGAUGUGGAGGAACACCGAUGGCGAAGGCAGCCUUCUGGGCCAACACUGACGCUCAUGCACGAAAGCGUGGGGAGCAAACAGG